GACGAACGCUGGCGGCGUGCUUAACACAUGCAAGUCGAACGGAGCGAAUGAAAGCUUGCUUUUAUGAGCUUAGUGGCAAACGGGUGAGUAACACGUAGACAACCUGCCGAUCAGAUGGGGACAACAUUCCGAAAGGAAUGCUAAUACCGAAUGAGGUGUAGGGGAGGCAUCUCCCCUACAUGAAAGAUGGCCUCUAUAUAUAAGCUAUCACUGAUCGAUGGGUCUGCGUCUGAUUAGCUAGUAGGUAAGGUAACGGCUUACCUAGGCGACGAUCAGUAGCCGGUCUGAGAGGAUGAACGGCCACAUUGGGACUGAGACACGGCCCAGACUCCUACGGGAGGCAGCAGUGGGGAAUCUUCCGCAAUGGGCGCAAGCCUGACGGAGCAACGCCGCGUGAGUGAAGAAGGUCUUCGGAUCGUAAAGCUCUGUUGAAAGGGGGACGAAACGUGCAUAACCAUGAAAUAAAGG
rnacentral:rRNA from 1 species